rnacentral:lncRNA from 1 species
AUCAAGAAUCCAAGGAGCAAUGAAAAUGUCACAAAGGCAAUAUAAAGAAACCUCACUAUUGUGACACUGGAAAAUAAUUCAUUUACCCAACUGUCGAUCCAUUCCCUUCGACGUCCUAAAGAUCCCAUGCUCUUCCUGCUCCCCCCAUCCAUCAUAAACCUUCAUGGCACAGGCAAAGUCUCCCUGAAUAUUCAUGGCAGAAAGCCAUUCCAUCGUGACCCAAUUGAUCACAGCUGCUGAGUGGCAGAGGCACCAAAUGUAUCAUCAAAAAAGGAAAGUUUAGGAAAGGUUGUAAACACUGUUUCCAAUGAUCUCAUAGCUGUUCCGUUACCUAAAUCGAUUGUGAAGAUGGCAAAAUUUAAGUGGUAAUUUUUAAUUAUUCUAGAAACAGAA